rnacentral:rRNA from 1 species
AUCGAACGCUGGCGGCAUGCCUAACACAUGCAAGUCGAACGAGUGGCGGACGGGUGAGUAAUGGCUGGGAAACUGCCCGAUGGAGGGGGAUAACUACUGGAAACGGUGGCUAAUACCGCAUACCAUCGGAGGUGCCCUGGUGGGAUUAGCUAGUAGGUGGGGUAACGGGUCACCUAGGCGACGAUCCCUAGCUUGUCUGAGAGGAUGACCAGCCACAGUGGAACGGAGACAGGGACCAGAAUCCUACGGGAGGCAGGAGUGGGGAAUAUUGCGCAAUGGGCGCAAGCCUGAUGCAGCCAUGCCGCGUGUAUGAAGAAGGCCUUCGGGUUGUAAAGUACUUUCAGCGAGGAGGCGUUACUCGAAGAAGAAGCACCGGCUAACUCCGUGCUAGCAGCCGCGGUAAUUC